CAAAGAGUUUAAAAAAGAAAGACAAAAAUGUAUUCCCACAAACUUGUUUACAUAUAUUACAGAAACUUUAAUAAAAUAAAUAAAAUAAUGUAUUUUUUUUAAAUUGUGUUAUUAUAAUUAUAUAUAAUAAAGAUAAUACAUGUAAAAAUACAAAAAAAAGAUGUGGUAUAAUUGCCAAUGAGACAACUCUCAACAAGAGACCAAAAUGACACAGAUAUCAACAACUAUAGGUCAACAUACAGCCUUCAACAAUGAGGAAAGCCCAUACUGCAUGGUCAGCUGCAAUAGGCCCCGAAAUGAUAAUGUAAAACAAUUCAAACAAGAAAACUAACGGCCUUAUUUAUGUACAAAUAAUGAACGAAAAAGAAAUAUGUAACACAUAAACAAACGACAACCUGUGAAUUACAUGGUAUACUAUGACUUGACUUUUUCAAGCUUGGUCCAAAUUAUAUAAGAUUCUUCAAUCUCCUGGAAAACAUCGCCAACCAACAUAUUAACCUCAGUAUGGUGAUGCAGCAUCUUACAUCCUCAAACAUGGAAACUAAACGAACUUUGAACAUUCAAAUGUGUACAUCAGUGCCUUGUUUUUCACAAUAUGAACUAUAUGGAAAUAAUUCUUAUGCUAUAUGUAUUAGACUAAGUGUUUUUUUCUCAUGCUAUUAUUAAAAAUAUAACAUGUACAUUUUCUAUAUAAGUAUGCAAAUUUGAAAUUGGGUUUUGAAUUCAGUG
rnacentral:lncRNA from 1 species